CAGCAGCCGCGGGAAAACGAAGGGGGCUAGCGUUGUUCGGAAUUACUGGGCGUAAAGCGCACGUAGGCUGACAUUUAAGUCAGGGGUGAAAUCCCGGGGCUCAACCUCGGAACUGCCUUUGAUACUGGGUGUCUUGAGUGUGGAAGAGGUAAGUGGAAUUGCGAGUGUAGAGGUGAAAUUCGUAGAUAUUCGCAGGAACACCAGUGGCGAAGGCGGCUUACUGGUCCACAACUGACGCUGAGGUGCGAAAGCGUGGGGAGCAAACAGGAUUAGAUACCCCAGUAGUCCCUGUCUCUUAUAC
rnacentral:rRNA from 1 species